CUGACGUAGGCUGGCCUCAGGCCCUGGUUGGUCUGAUCGCGCACCCCGGCCCGGAAUUGGCCCGGGUCUCUUCUGGCUCCGAGUGGAGCGGCCUCUCGCUGGACCUGCUAGGAGCUGCCGCUGCCAGGCCGCGUGGGCGCUAUGGGGCCGUUGGAUGGGUGCGAGUGAGUGCGGGCUCCCUGGGCCCGAGUGUCCACCGCUGCGCCCCGGCUUGCAGCCCUGCCGGUUUCCUGCGGGUGGCGGCCCAUCUGCGCGGAGGGAUGGGGCGGGAGCCGGCCGUGCUGGAGCCCAGACCGGAGAUCUCCGGGACACCGCGGUGCGGGUGCCGGUGCCGAGAACCUGAGGAUCUUCCUCGCUCCUGCUCUGCUCCCCCUCCAGUUGGGACACCCAGGUUAGAGGCUCUUCCCAGACUGAGGGACACACAGGCACUGCUGUCUACAAUACCAACCAUGGAGCUUCAGAAACGCGACUAUCUUGUAGAACGGCCACUGCUGAACCAGGAGCAGCUGGAGCACCUGGGGCACUGGGGCCCAACACCUAGGACCCAUCAAUGGCGAACCUGGUUUCAGUGCUCCCAUUCUCGGGCCCAUGGCUAUCUACUCAAAUACCUCCCAGUCUUGGGCUGGUUACCCCACUAUCGUGUGCGUGAGUGGCUCCUGGGUGACUUGUUGUCUGGCCUGAGUGUGGCCAUCAUGCAGCUUCCACAGGGCUUGGCCUAUGCCCUCCUGGCUGGAUUACCCCCUGUGUUUGGCCUCUACAGCUCCUUCUACCCUGUCUUUGUAUACUUCCUGUUUGGUACUUCCCGACACAUCUCUGUGGGGACCUUUGCUAUCAUGUCUGUAAUGGUGGGCAGUGUGACAGAAUCCAUCACUCAGGAUGAGGACUUCCAGCAGAACACAAACUCUACUGUCAGUGCCCGUGUGCAGCUGGCCUCCACACUCAGUGUCCUGGUGGGCCUCUUCCAGGUGGCACUGGGCCUGGUGCACUUCGGCUUUGUGGUCAACUACCUGUCUGAGCCACUGGUGCGAAGCUACACCACAGCUGCAUCUGUGCAGGUCUUCGUCUCACAGCUCAAGUAUGUGUUCGGCCUCCAGUUGAGCAGCCGCUCAGGGCCCCUGUCCCUUAUCUAUACUUUUCUGGAGGUCUGCUGGAAUUUGCCCAAGAGUGUGGUUGGCACCGUGGUCACUGCAGUUGUGGCAGGGGUGGCGCUCGUGAUGGUGAAGAUAUUGAAUGACAAGCUGCAUCGGCAUCUCCCUCUGCCAAUACCUGGGGAGCUGCUCACGCUCAUUGCAGCCACAGGCAUCUCCUAUGGUGUGAACCUGAGAAACAGAUUUGAGGUGGACACUGUGGGCACCAUCCCCACAGGGCUGAUCGCCCCCAUGAUACCCAACCCCCAGCUGUUCGGAAAGCUGGUGGGACAUGCCUUCGCCAUCGCUGUGGUCGGGUUUGCCAUUGCCAUCUCACUGGGGAAGAUCUUCGCUCUCAGACACGGCUACCGGGUGGACAGCAACCAGGAGCUGGUGGCCCUCGGCCUCAGUAACUUUGUUGGAGGCUUCUUCCAGUGCUUCCCUGUGAGCUGCUCCAUGUCCCGGAGCCUGGUACAGGAGACCACCGGGGGCAACACACAGGUUGCUGGAGCAGUCUCUUCCCUCUUUAUCCUCCUCAUCAUCCUUAAACUGGGGGAACUCUUCCGAGAACUGCCCAAGGCAGUUCUGGCAGCCAUCAUUAUUGUGAACCUGAAGGGCAUGUUGAAGCAAUUCACUGACAUAUGCACCCUCUGGAAGGCAAAUCGAGUAGACCUGCUUAUCUGGGUGGUAACCUUUGUGGCCACCAUCCUGUUAAACCUGGACCUUGGCCUGGCAGUUGCGAUAGGCUUCUCCCUGCUGCUUGUGGUGGUACGAACACAGAUGCCCCGGUACUCUGUCCUGGGGCAGGUGCCAGACACGGACAUUUACAGAGAUGUGGCGGAGUACUCAGAGGCCAAGGAGAUCCCCGGUGUGAAAGUCUUCCGGUCCUCAGCCACCUUGUACUUUGCCAACGCUGAGCUCUACAGUGACACAUUGAAGCAGAGGUGCGGGGUGGAUGUUGACCGUCUUCUGGCCCAGAAGAAGAAGCGGCUGAGGAAACAGGAACGGAAGCUAAAGCAACAGCAGAAACACAAACAGGCUGCCUCUUCCAAUGGCACCUCAGUUUCUAUCAGUGUGGACACCAGCCUCGGAGACAUCAAGGGCAGUGGUGUGGAGGACUCCAGGGUCAAGGUGAGCCCAGCAAAUGAACUGGAGGAUGUGGUAGUCAGCAGGCAAGAAGAUGCCAAGGCCCCAGAUGUGUCCACGCUGAAGGCCCUGGGCCUGCCCCGGCCGGACUUCCACAGUCUCAUCUUGGACCUGGGGGCCCUCUCCUUUGUGGACACUGUGUGCAUCAAGAGCCUGAAGAAUAUUUUCCGUGACUUUCGUGAGAUAGAGGUGGAGGUGUACAUUGCGGCCUGCCACAGUGCGUUGGCUGGGGACCACGGGAGCAAUGUAGGAAGAGGGUGGGAUCCUUUUGCCUGGAAGGUUUGCCAGGCAACACAAGGAGAAAGUGUCUCUGAAGCCAGACGUCAGAGGUGUCCUGGGAGGCCCUGUGGUCACCCAGCUUGAGGCUGGGUGCUUCUUUGAUGCAUCUAUCACUAAGAAGCAUCUCUUUGUCUCUGUCCAUGACGCUGUGACCUUUGCCCUCCAACACUCAAGGUCUGGUCCCAACAGCCCUGUUUUGGCCACCAAACUCUGACUGUGCUGCCAGCUGCCUGACACUGCCCACCUCUGGAGGUUGUAAUGGAGAACCCUUGAGAAGCCCCCAGCCCUGGGCCACCUCCAGGUGCCACCCAGGAGUCCCCUCCAUGCACACACACAUGUACCUCAGGGAUGGACGUCCUGGGACUCCAAGUUCAGUGGUAUCAGCCCUAGGCAAGGUGGCUACAGUCAGCCUGGCCUUGGCUGGGUACAGGGAGGAGCCAGUGUGUAUUUUAAGGCUCAGGAAUAAAGAUGUGUCUGCUCAU